UCCCCCUAAUUCACAGGUUACAUUUUACCCAAUUUCUGCUUUCUCCAUUUCACCUGAGAAACCAACCUUCCCUCUCUGCUGCCGCCGCACCGUCUUCGUGUCGCCGUCGCACUGUCACGCUCGCGUCGCCGUCGCACUGUCGUUCAGUUACUCUCUCUCUGUCUUUUUCUUCUUUGAUUCGGUUCUAUGAAUGAAGAUUUUGCAUAGAGAAAUAGUUAGUUCAUAAACCCUAGAAACCAGAGUGAAUUGACAUUUCUGUUGCUUCUGCGCUGCUGCAUUUCACUUCCUUCCCCUAAGCGCCAUGGCAUAAGAGAAUAAGCUUGCGAACCCUAUGAGGGAAAUCAAAGUGCAGAAGCUUGUCCUCAACAUCUCCGUUGGCGAGAGUGGCGAUCGUCUCACCAAAAUGAUGAGAGGUGUUUGAUGGAUAAAUCAAAGUGCAGAAGCUCCAUCCCUCGAUAGAUAAAUCGUCUUGCUCGAAUUGUCAGGAAACAUCAAGCAAACUCUCAUGCAAAAAAGGGAUGGGAACAAUUUACUGAUGCUGUUAUCAAAACAAUGUCACAGAAAAGGGAAGGUGUUGUCUUUCUGUUGUGGGGCAACUCUGCUUGGGAGAAAUCUAGGUUAAUUGAUGCAACAAAACAUCAUAUACUUCAAGCUGCACAUCCUUCUGGUUUGUCUGUAGAUAGAGGCUUCUUUGGCUGCAGGUAAGGUUGUUUUGAAGUAUAAUUUAGUUGUGUUAAUAUGGUAAAUAAUGAGCGCAAGAAGAACUUCUGAAUUGGUAAAUAAUGUACACAACACUACUGCUCUAUAAUAGGACCUGCAGAGUUCUAAAGUGGAAGUUGUAAGUGUUAGCAUCGUGCUUGGUUGAUUAAGUGGAGAGUGCAAAUAUAUUUAGUCAUCACAGUCUAAAAUACAAACCUUCUUUUAAUCUCUUUCAUCAACUUGGCAUUAUUGUAUUAAAAUACAUUUUUCACUUUUUUCCUACUUCACCACUGGUUUUCAUUAUUCAUCUUCAUGGCGGGUGAUCUGAAACAGUUGUUUCAUAUUCUGUUCCAUUGACACAUUGAGCCAUAUUUUGGUUUCCACUUAAAUGAACAGAGACGUAGAUCUUAUAUAAUACUAAAAAAAUAUUUUAAAAACCACCUUAAUCAGUUAUCUAUUUAUCAUCCCCGUAAACCAGUUUUCAUGCUUACUUUCUAUCUUGUGUAUUCUGAAUCCAUCUGAGCAGGCACUUCUCUCGCACAAACCAGCUUCUGGAGAAAAGGGGAAUAGAUCCCAUAGAUUGGCAACUAUAAUAUGUAGUAUUUGAACUUUGAAGCCCAAAACUUUGUUCCUUUUCAUCAAAACCUUUUUGAAGUUUGGUUCAAGUUCUUGGGUCUUGUAAGCUAGUGCCUAGUAGUUCUCUUCAUCUUAUUUCAAUAUUUUUAUAUGUAUAGUUUCAUAAUUACCACACAUAAUGGAAAAAAAUUUGGAAGUUGUUUUGUUAUUUAAUUUUACAUGUAUUUCAGUAUUUUUAUAUGUAUAA